GUCACAGUCCAUUCCUCUCUCUUUCUUGGAGCACUCACUUUGUCUACGUAAGUAACCCUCACCCUUCUUUAUUAUUAUUUCCACCAAUUCGUUAUCCGUUGCUACAAUUCCUGAUGCAGCAAAUUGAAUUUUGUUCGUUACUAAGGAAAAUUACUUUAUUCAUAUAGAUCUCUGCUAGGGUUCACAUUUGUUUGGUAAUCUCUGCAAGUGCCUCUCUCGUCCUCAUUGCGGUUCACAUUCUCUG
rnacentral:misc_RNA from 1 species